AGAGUUUGAUCAUGGCUCAGGACGAACGCUGGCGGCGUGCUUAACACAUGCAAGUCGAACGAGGUGCUUCGGCACUUAGUGGCGAACGGGUGAGUAACACGUGAGCAACCUGCCCUUGGCUCUGGGAUAGCCUCCGGAAACGGUGAUUAAUACCGGACAUGACCUGCUCCUGCAUGGGAGCGGGUGGAAAGUUUUUCGGCCAAGGAGGGGCUCGCGGCCUAUCAGCUUGUUGGGGGGUAACGGCCCACCAAGGCGACGACGGGUAGCCGGCCUGAGAGGGCGACCGGCCACACUGGGACUGAGACACGGCCCAGACUCCUACGGGAGGCAGCAGUGGGGAAUAUUGCACAAUGGGGGAAACCCUGAUGCAGCGACGCCGCGUGCGGGAUGAAGGCCUUCGGGUUGUAAACCGCUUUCACCAGGGACGAAGCGAGAGUGACGGUACCUGGGGAAGAAGCGCCGGCUAACUACGUGCCAGCAGCCGCGGUAAUACGUACGGCGCAAGCGUUGUCCGGAAUUAUUGGGCGUAAAGAGCUCGUAGGCGGACUGUUGCGUCCGCUGUGAAAUGCCAGGGCUUAACCCCUGGGCCUGCAGUGGAUACUGGCUGUCUAGAUGCCGCAGGGGAGAACGGAAUUGCCGGUGGAGAGGGAGAUGGACCGCUAUCGGGAGGACCACCCGCG
rnacentral:rRNA from 1 species